rnacentral:lncRNA from 1 species
AUCAAUUAAGAAUGGAGAGAGUGAGUUUGUCUGUUUGACAAAAGAAGCAGACACAGCUUCAAGAGGUGAAGCUUGGUGCCAGAAUAUUGCCCAUCUUGAAUCCUUUUUGAAGAUAGAGAGAUCUAAAACACAAGACUCAAGAUAAAGAGAUUAGUCCAAUAAUCGUGAUUAUUUGUUAUCAUCAAAAUCUAAUAGACGAUUAGGGCCACUGGGCCAACAAGUUUGUGCCAUUAUGAUAAUACAAAUACAAAUACAAACAAUAUGGUUUGGUUAAGAUUGGGAACUGGAUGAAUCGUCCGUCAUGCGCUACCAACAAAGAUGCACGAAAAAAUAGAGAAAAUCAAACGAACGGUAAAAAAAAUAAAUGUAGAAAGAAGAAAUCAAGAUUUACGUGGUUCGGUAUUUGCCUACGUCCACGGAAAGAGCGAGAGAAAUGUAUUCCACUAUAUAAAAAAAUAGAGAGAGAUGUAUUCCACUAUAUAAAAAAAUAGAAGUACAAGAUUACACCUUAUAUCUUCUCCGGAUAAAAACUAAGAGUCUUAUGGCGAAUCCCAACUUUCUCUUGUUCCAACGAAAACUCUAAAAAAAUACCGAAAAAGCUUUUCGUAAACCCGACAAGAUCAAAUUAGAGAAGUAUAGAAAACUCUAAUCAAAAUCCUUUAUGCCGCUGCUUUG